rnacentral:rRNA from 1 species
UAUUGCACAAUGGGGGAAACCCUGAUGCAGCAACGCCGCGUGAAGGAAGAAGGCUUUCGGGUUGUAAACUUCUUUUAAGAGGGACGAAGGACGUGACGGUACCUCUUGAAUAAGCCACGGCUAACUACGUGCCAGCAGCCGCGGUAAUACGUAGGUGGCAAGCGUUAUCCGGAUUUAUUGGGUGUAAAGGGCGUGUAGGCGGGAGCGCAAGUCAGAUGUGAAAACUCAGGGCUCAACCCUGAGCCUGCAUUUGAAACUGUGUUUCUUGAGUGCUGGAGAGGCAAUCGGAAUUCCGUGUGUAGCGGUGAAAUGCGUAGAUAUACGGAGGAACACCAGUGGCGAAGGCGGAUUGCUGGACAGUAACUGACGCUGAGGCGCGAAAGCGUGGGGAGCAA